ACACAAAUAGUGAUUUUCUUAUUUGACGAACUAGUGUUGUUGCUCAUCCAUUCCCAGAACGAUUCUGGAAAAAUCUAGAACUCCUCGAAUAUCGUUAUAAUCGUCGUAUUCGUUUAUUGUGACACGUCGAUACACUUGACAGAUUAUUUUGACAUUUUAUUGUCCCUUCAACAUCUGAAAAAUGUCUCUCUUUGGUGGAAUGCUGGGAGAUCUUGAAGAUGACCCUAUUUUUGGGUCGUACAUGCAAUCCAUGCAACACAUGAACAGCAUGAUGAACUCACUGUUUAGCAGCCCUUUUGGGAUGACGGGACCAGCUCUGAUGGGGCCUGAGCCUCGUGGAGGUUCUCGUCACAACCAGAUGAUGCCCUUUGGAUUUGGAAUGCCAGGAUUCAACAUGAAUAAUAUGUUUUCGCAGUUUGAUAAUAUGGCUCAGGUUCCAAGCUCUCACGGAAUGUCCUCCACUUCUAUCAUGACAUACACCAGUGGCCCAGAUGGUCGUCCACAGGUGUAUCAGGCCUCCAGAUCAACUCGAGCUGCUCCAGGAGGAAUUCAAGAGACUCAAGAGACUGUUUACGACUCUCGUUCUGGUACCAAGAAAAUGGCCAUCGGACAUCACAUCGGAGACAGGGCACACGUCAUCGAGAAACAAAAGAAUCUGAAUAAUGGAGAUGAAGAAGAGCAUCAUGAGUUCAUUAAUCUCGAUGAGGAGGAAGCUGGCUCAUUCAACCAGGAAUGGGAGCAACGUACCAGAGGUGGGCGUGGAAAUCGUAGCGACCGUGCCCUCGAGCAUGGCUCACAACACAGAAAACGCUCUGAGCCAAGGCGUCUGGCCCUGACAGACGGUACUUCAAGUAGUCGUCAAAGUAGUCGUUCAAGGUGGGCCCCAUCUACGAGGCGAAGCAUAAGACCUAGUAGCAAUAUUGGUAGCUCCUCCAGGUACUCCCCAAAGUAUUAAUUAGAAAAAAUGAAUUUUAUGAAGAAAGUGGUGACGUUUGCGAGCAACGUAAUAAUGCAGAUGGAGAAACAAGACCAAAAACACCGGAGGCAUCGAGCAGUCGUAAACGCGAGCACGAUGUUGAGACUGAGACAACUCAUAAACGCCACAUGUCUAAUAGUCAUGAUUAGUAACAUCAGCUGACGUUAAUGGAGUCUCGAUAAUAAAUUCAAUGGCUCGAACUAAAAUAAAUGUGAAAGCUUUACAAUAUUACAAUCGCCACUUGGCGUUAUUUAUAUUCUCCAGUACAAGUAUUUCCAUGAAUAUCAAAUGUAGUUAUUGUCGAUGAACAUAGUCCAUUGGCGUCUUCAGUAUCUGUCGAUGCUUUUAGGGAGAUAACAGAUCAAUUAUGUUUCUGUGGAUUAUUAAUGAAUAUUUGAAAAAUAACAUAAAAUAGAAAACUCGUAAGUUAGUGUAUAUUUUUGACCGAGGCUCCGUUAUAUCUGGAUGAGGCUGAAUUAUUAGAUAAAUUAAUCUUUGAUUGAAGACUUGAAAAUGGAAAUUAAGUAUAGGAAUUUACUUUCCUCCCACUUGUAAACAUUCGAUGCUCAUUUUUUAAGAAAAUAUAAUUCAUGACAAGUAA